AUGAUGGACUGCAGGACAGGACUGCUGCUUUUAACUCUCUGCUGGGCAGGUGUUGAUGGUCAGACUCUGACAGAAUCUGAACCAGUGGUUAAAAGGCCCGGAGAGUCCCACACACUGACCUGCACAGCCUCUGGAUUCACAUUCAGCGACUACCAGAUGGCCUGGGUCAGACAGGCUCCUGGAAAAGGACUGGAGUGGAUUUCUUUAUUAAGUAAACCAAGUGGUAGUGAUAAACUCUACUCUCAGUCAGUUCAAGGCCGGUUUACCAUCUCCAGAGACAAUGACAAACAGCAGGUGUAUCUGCAGAUGAACAGUCUGAAAACUGAAGAUUCUGCUGUUUAUUACUGUGCUCGACGCACACAGUGA